UUUUCGACUUUUUUCUCGACUUUUUUGACCGCUUAGCAAUAGUAGAGCAGGCUCAUUCUAUGCUGAGAGCAUGGACAAUAUGGCGAGCUCUAUUGACAAGGUAUGUGCAUAUUUACGUGAGAGAGGAGUGGAAGAAGCAGUGAUUGAGCGAUUUAGAUCAGAGAAGAUGGAUAUGACUGCAGUUCUAACUGCGACGCAAAACAAUUUAGAAGAUUUGGGUUUAAUAAGAGCAGGUGACCGACUGAGUCUUGUUGCCUUCUGCAAAAAUGCAGAAGAGAAAAAUGAAAAAGGGAUAAGACAGAAGGAAAACCAAACUGAGCGAAAAAAGGCACUACUAGAAGCUUUCCUUUCAAAGAAAAAAAGGAAAUCACCAGCAAACAUCGAUAGUGCUGCAGGUCAAGAUAAAAAAAGGAAAAACUAAAAACUAAAAAAAUACAACUUGGCUGGAAGCAUUUCCGGGAAGAAGAAGAGGCAUAUGUUCUUGUCCCAUUGGUGAAGGGAGGAGGAAGUCGGACGGUUGAGGUUCCUGUCACUAUAGAUAAAUUCAAACUGCAGCAAACUUACAAAGAACUUUUCUUUCCUGAUGGUCAGUCAAUAUAAAUUAUGGUAAAGAUGAUGAUAUGAUCUUUGAUUUGGCCAACUUUAAAGAUGAAAAAGGGUCAGCGAAUCUAUGAUUGUUGGAGAUAAUGCAGUGCCAUUCAAUAUAAACAACUACAUGGAAGUACACAAGAUCAAAACAGUAAGAUUGUACUUGCGAUCUAGAAAAAUCUGCAUUGAUCCAGAAAGUGAUAGAGAACUAGAGCAUUCAAUAUUCAUGAGCCAAGAUGAUUUGCCUCAGUUGAGUACCACAACUUCAUUUAUUGGUAGUUCUGAAGAAAGAAGGGUACUCRUUGAGGAGCAGGAUGAGGCUUACAAAAUCUCCUUGCAUACAGAUAAAAAGAAAAAAGCUGAUCUACAAAGAAAACUUGAUGAGGAAGAGUGGAGAGAAAGACUGCAGAGUGCAAGAAAGGCUAGAGUUCCCCCUGAACCCAAUAGCAAUUUUGUAACUGUUAGAAUCAGACACCCAUCACUAGGCCUGCAGUCAAGAAGAUUUCCAACCYAUACCCUGAUGAGUUCUGUUUAUGACUGGGCAGGAUCAUUGAGCUCUCAACCAGAACACUUUGGCCUACAUGAUCCACUUGSAAUUCUGCUAUCACCCAGCAGUAAAGUGGAUGACAGAUGUACCUUGACUAUGAUAGAGUUUCUGGAGGGAACCCCAUCACUAUCAAUUUCUGAUGAUGAAAUAGAAUUUUUGGGGUUUGGAGAAGUAGGAAACUUGAGURGUUUGAGUGAAGGGUUCGAAGGGCAUGAUGAAGAUAAAAUGCAAUACUUUGUUGCUAUCAAUUCCAAUGAAGAAGAAACCCCUAACCAGGAACAAUCRACAUCAAGCAGAUUCAUAAGAGUCAGAAGGGUCCAGAUCAUGUCAGACAUGAUUGAAGUAUUUAAGGAUCCAACACUAAUGGAAUCGCAUGUUAAAGUCAUCAUGGUAAAUGCUUAUGGCCUAGAAGAAGCUGGGGCAGAUGAAAAUGGGGUGUUUAGGGAUGCACUUUCAGCAUUCUGGAGAGACUUUGAAAAUUCAUGUACCAUUGGGGAAGAUGAGCGUAUUCCAGUUAUAAGACAUGGAUUCCAGGCUCCAGAGUGGGAAGCCAUAGCUAGAAUCUUGGUAAAAGGAUAUCAACAACUUAAUUUUUUUCCAAUUAAGUUGAAUAGAGCAUUUCUCAUUGCAACCCUGUUUGUGGAAGGUGUGCACAGCUGAAUGAACUAUUUAGCCCAUGGCUCUUCUUCUUAAUUAACUAAUAACAUGGUUUUGCAGCUACUGUAUGCUUUAAAACAGAAACAAAAAAUAUAUGCAUUGUAUGUUUGGAUAGAAAAUGUCAUUUCCCAAACGUUAUAGAUCAAUAUUUGGCUAUUAAAAGGGAAAUUUCACUAGCAAAGAAAAAAAUCGCUCACUGGUAUUUGACUAUUGACAAGUUUGAAAGCAUCGAAAAUAGACCACUGAUAGACCACUAAUAACUGAACAAAUCAAACACACUAGUUGAUUUGUAGUUUGUUUAAAUACUUUAGUGUACUAUAGCAUUAGCCUCCUCUGCAUGCAUCUCUCGUCUCCUUUUAGGUAUUAACGCCUGCGGAGGAGGCUACUAUAGCAUUUUAAUUGGCCAAGAACUGUUGUGGGCUGGCUGUGGCUCCUGUUUCUCAAUCUUAACACUUCCUUCGUGCUUUAAUUCAUCACCUCUUGCAAUAUUGCUGUAUURCUAAYCAUAGCAUGKGAAAAACUGAAYUUGAUUUAUUAACUUUWGAYUAUUUCUAAUAGGGUGGAAAUAUGCUUCUAUCAUUAUAUUCAAUUCAUUUAUGUUGGUAUUUUAGAGUGAAUCAGAAAAAGAUCUAGAUGGGUCAGAAGAACUCAAGCAAGCUAAAGCAAUUCUUGCAGAACCUGUGCUCGAAGACUAAACUGCUUGCACUAUGCAUUGAAUUAACUUUAUAAGGGAGUGUGUAGAACAAACAUAUUGUGUGAAAUAAGACACCAUUGCACUGCAAAUAACAUGUUCGUCAAGGAAAGCCAAGAAUAUUUUUAACUCAAAGAAUAACAUCUAUAUGUAAUACGUAACAGUUUUGUUUUUGUCAGUUUUCCUUAUUUAUUAAAU